CCCUUAGGUGUUCUGGGCCGCACGCGUGCUACACUGAGUAAUUCAAUGGGUAAGGGAACGCUAGAGCAUUACCUAAUCUUGAAAUUUGCUCGUGAUGGGGAUCGACGGUUGCAAUUUUCCGUCGUGAACGAGGAAUACCUUGUAGGCGCAUGUCAUCAUCAUGCGCCGAAUACGUCCCUGCCCUUUGUACACACCGCCCGUCGCUCCUACCGAUUGAGUGAUCCGGUGAGGCUCUGGGACCUGGACGGAAAGAGCGUUUCGCUUGUUCUGUUUGGGAAACUUGGUCGAACCUUAUCAUUUAGAGGAAGGAGAAGUCGUAACA
rnacentral:rRNA from 1 species